rnacentral:rRNA from 1 species
GUUGUAUAGUCAAGUAAUUAAGUGCAUGUGGUGGAUGCCUUGGCAGUCAGAGGCGAUGAAAGACGUGAUAGCCUGCGAAAAGCUCCGGGGAGGCGGCAAAUAUCCUUUGAUCCGGAGAUGUCUGAAUGGGGGAACCCACCUACUUUAAGGUAGGUAUUGCAACAUGAAUACAUAGUGUUGCAAGGCGAACGAGGGGAAGUGAAACAUCUCAGUACCCUUAGGAAAAGAAAUCAAUUGAGAUUCCCUCAGUAGCGGCGAGCGAACGGGGAUCAGCCCAUUAAGUUAUGUGUGUUUUAGUGGAACGCUCUGGGAAGUGCGAACGUAGAGGGUGAUAUUCCCGUACACGAAAGGGCACACAUAAUGAUGACGAGUAGGGCGAGGCACGUGAAACCUUGUCUGAAUAUGGGGGGACCAUCCUCCAAGGCUAAAUACUCCUGACUGACCGAUAGUGAACCAGUACCGUGAGGGAAAGGCGAAAAGAACCCCUGUGAGGGGAGUGAAAUAGAUCCUGAAACCGCAUGCAUACAAGCAGUGGGAGCACCUUCGUGGUGUGACUGCGUACCUUUUGUAUAAUGGGUCAGCGACUUAUAUUCAGUAGCGAGGUUAACCGUAUAGGGGAGCCGUAGAGAAAUCGAGUCUUAAUAGGGCGUUUAGUUGCUGGGUAUAGACCCGAAACCAGGCGAUCUAUCCAUGAGCAGGUUGAAGGUUGGGUAACACUAACUGGAGGACCGAACCCACUGUCGUUGAAAAGCCAGGGGAUGACUUGUGGAUAGGGGUGAAAGGCUAAUCAAGCCUGGUGAUAGCUGGUUCUCCCCGAAAGCUAUUUAGGUAGCGCCUCGGACGAAUACCAUAGGGGGUAGAGCACUGUUUCGGCUAGGGGGUCAUCCCGACUUACCAAACCGAUGCAAACUCCGAAUACCUAUGAGUACUAUCCGGGAGACAGACUGCGGGUGCUAACGUCCGUAGUCAAGAGGAAAACAAUCCAGACCGCCAGCUAAGGCCCCAAAAUCAUAGUUAAGUGGGAAACGAUGUGGGAAGGCAUAGACAGCUAGGAGGUUGGCUUAGAAGCAGCCACCCUUUAAAGAAAGCGUAAUAGCUCACUAGUCGAGUCGGCCUGCGCGGAAGAUGUAACGGGGCUAAAACUAUGUGCCGAAGCUGCGGAUGUAUACUUUGUAUACGUGGUAGGGGAGCGUUCUGUAAGCCGAUGAAGGUGUGUUGAGAAGCAUGCUGGAGGUAUCAGAAGUGCGAAUGCUGACGUGAGUAACGACAAAACGGGUGAAAAACCCGUUCGCCGAAAGACCAAGGGUUCCAGUCCAACGUUAAUCGGGGCUGGGUGAGUCGACCCCUAAGGCGAGGCCGAAAGGCGUAGUCGAUGGGAAAAUGGUUAAUAUUCCAUUACUUCUGUGUAAUGCGAUGAGAGGACGGAGAAGGCUAAAUCAGCCUGGCGUUGGUUGUCCAGGUGAAAGGAUGUAGGCAUGUAUCUUAGGCAAAUCCGGGGUACUCUAUGCUGAGAUCUGAUAGCAAGCUGUACUUGUACAGCGAAGUGGUUGAUGCCAUGCUUCCAGGAAAAGUCUCUAAGCUUCAGUUACACAGGAAUCGUACCCGAAACCGACACAGGUGGUCAGGUCGAGUAGACCAAGGCGCUUGAGAGAACUCUGCUGAAGGAACUAGGCAAAAUGGUACCGUAACUUCGGGAGAAGGUACGCUGUUGUUGGUGAUGGAACUCGCUUCCUGAGCUGACGACAGCCGCAGAAACCAGGCCGCUGCAACUGUUUAUUAAAAACAUAGCACUCUGCAAACACGAAAGUGGACGUAUAGGGUGUGAUGCCUGCCCGGUGCUGGAAGGUUAAUUGAUGGGGUUAGCGUAAGCGAAGCUCUUGAUCGAAGCCCCAGUAAACGGCGGCCGUAACUAUAACGGUCCUAAGGUAGCGAAAUUCCUUGUCGGGUAAGUUCCGACCUGCACGAAUGGCAUAAUGAUGGCGGCGCUGUCUCCAGCAGAGGCUCAGUGAAAUCGAAAUCGCUGUGAAGAUGCAGUGUACCCGCGGCUAGACGGAAAGACCCCGUGAACCUUUACUGCAGCUUGACACUGAACUUUGACCUUACUUGUGUAGGAUAGGUUGGGAGGCUUUGAAGCUGGAACGCUAGUUCCAGUGGAGCCGUCCUUGAAAUACCACCCUGGUAAUGUUGAGGUUCUAACUCUGUCCCGUGAUCCGGGACGAGGACCGUGUCUGGUGGGUAGUUUGACUGGGGCGGUCUCCUCCUAAAGAGUAACGGAGGAGUACGAAGGUGCGCUCAGCGUGGUCGGAAAUCACGCGUAGAGUAUAAAGGCAAAAGCGCGCUUAACUGCGAGACCCACAAGUCGAGCAGGUACGAAAGUAGGUCUUAGUGAUCCGGUGGUUCUGUAUGGAAGGGCCAUCGCUCAACGGAUAAAAGGUACUCUGGGGAUAACAGGCUGAUACCGCCCAAGAGUUCAUAUCGACGGCGGUGUUUGGCACCUCGAUGUCGGCUCAUCUCAUCCUGGGGCUGAAGCAGGUCCCAAGGGUAUGGCUGUUCGCCAUUUAAAGAGGUACGCGAGCUGGGUUUAGAACGUCGUGAGACAGUUCGGUCCCUAUCUACCGUGGGCGCUGGAAAUUUGAGAGGAUCUGCUCCUAGUACGAGAGGACCAGAGUGGACGAACCUCUGGUGUACCGGUUGUGACGCCAGUCGCAUCGCCGGGUAGCUAUGUUCGGAAGGGAUAACCGCUGAAAGCAUCUAAGCGGGAAGCCUACCUCAAGAUAAGAUUUCCCUAGGACUUUAUGUCCUCUAAAGAGCCGUUCGAGACUAGGACGUUGAUAGGUUGGAUGUGGAAGCAUAGUGAUAUGUGAAGCUGACCAAUACUAAUUGCUCGUGAGGCUUGACUAUACAACACCCAAGCAGUUG